CCGACGGUGAGGGGUGAAAGCUGGGGGCACGAACCGGAUUAGAUACCCGGGUAGUCCCAGCCGUAAACGAUGCUCGCUAGGUGUCAGGCAUGGCGCGAUCGUGUCUGGUGCCGCAGGGAAGCCGUGAAGCGAGCCACCUGGGAAGUACGGCCGCAAGGCUGAAACUUAAAGGAAUUGGCGGGGGAGCACAACAACGGGUGGAGCCUGCGGUUUAAUUGGACUCAACGCCGGACAACUCACCGGGGGCGACAGCAAUAUGUAGGCCAAGCUGAAGACUUUGCCUGAAUCGCUGAGAGGAGGUGCAUGGCCGUCGCCAGUUCGUACUG
rnacentral:rRNA from 1 species